AUACUACAGCAUCAACAUGCAGUUUGUGUUUGAUGCUUGAUACCACAUUAUUGAUGUGGUUGCAAAGUGGCCGGGAUUGGUUCACGAUGCAAGAAUACUUGCUCAAAGUGGACUCUGCACGAUAUUUGACAGCGGCAUCGUCCCAGCUGGGUGUCACUUACUGGGAGAUAGUGGCUAUCCCAGCAAGAAGUGGCUACUGACUCCAUACCUCAGACCACAGCCUGGAGCACAGUCUUCUUAUAACAGGGCCCACAAGAAAACCUGCAACAUUGUUGAGAGAGGCAUCGGGCAGCUGAAGCCACAUUUUCACAUGCUACACAGUGAAAUCCAAGUUGGUCCUCCACCCAAGGUCUGCCAAAUUGUAGAGGUUUGUGCAUUGCUGCACAACAUCUGCAAAGCAAGAAACAUCAUUCUUCCUGAGGAAGAAGAACAUCUAGCUGCAGCCGAGGAUGGAGGCAAUGAGGAGCGACCCCCAGCACAGAAAGUUCAAAGUCGCCAUGAAGGAAUCCUUUACAGGGAUGAAUUUGUUGUGCUUCACUUAAACAUUGCUGAGUGAUGAGACACCAGUGUCAUGACUGCUGAGAUUGGUGUUAAUCUCAUGUGGAUGAUCUCCUCCUCAUCCACAUAGACCAGUGAUGUACCAGGCAAGUCUGGCCCCUGUUGGUGCCACAUCACUGGUGCUGGAAGUGGUGUGGCAGGUGCCUCCUCCUCAACACCCACUGCCUCGGUCACCACUUCUCUCUGUUGGGCUGCCUCUGCCAC